UAUUAGCUCUGAACUCUCAAAUGUCUGUAAUCAUAUUAUAUUUAAAGCUUGUCAGGCCAUUUUAUUAUUUUUUUUAAGAAUUCUUCUAACUUGGAAUAUUUAAAGGGUUUAACAGCAGUCAUUUAGACUUAGACAGAUCUUUGUUGUGUUCAUGCUUGUUUUUACGGACAGUAAUGUUAAACCCACACCGUGGUGUCUGAGCAGCUUUGAUUGCACAUUUGCAUUUCUUAAACUUUGGUUUAAGGCCACAAAAUUGAUGUUCAGCAAGCUUGUGUUCAGGAAAGCCAAACAGCAAUUCAGUUGCAGUUUAGCUUGUCAGACAUUUCACCCUUUAAAAUAUCCCAGUAUUGCAGUAUUAUUAUGUUUUUCCUCUUUGGGUGAUGUGUAGUUACACUAGUUAUAGAUCUCCCAGAGUCCUUUGAAUCGAUUUUAUUUAUUUAUCUUUAUUUGUUUAGCCCGACAGAUUUUGUAGACCAAAGUUUGGAUCCUUUAGUCCACAGAAAUCUGUUGAAUCGGUCACACUUCAGGAAAAAUUUGGCCAAACUCUCCAUUCUGCUAGUGCAGAGUAGUAGGCAGUAAAACAGGAGUUUAGUUAAAUUGGAUAAAGUGGACUAAGACAAAUGAGAUGGAGGUUAAGCAUCACUUUCCAUGUUGCAGAUGUCUGAGCCAAGUGUGCCGCUGUGGGACGGCUGCUCCUGUAGCACCAGCAGCUGCCGGCAGAGGGAGCAGGCACAAUGACUUUUCUGUUCAGGACCAUGAAGCACAGCGCAGCCAUGUCAGCAGCAUCAUAUUUAGAGAGGGACCCUGUAACCUCGCAGCUUGAGGUGAUAGACAGCUGAUGAACAGCGAGAGACAGUCUGAAGAGCCUGUUGAACAGACAUGAUUAAACAGGUCAGAGGAGUCCACCGUCAGAGGUCUAUCAGCGAACGUGAGAGGGACGAAAUGUGUCCAAGAGGGGAAGUAGAAGAAGAGGACAGAAAGAGGAAGAGGGAGGGUGGUAUUUUCAUUUCGCAGCAUCGUCGCCUUGGUGUGUGCAUGUUUUGUCCGUACAGUAAUGGCCCGGAUGGGACUGAACUGAGGGCUGAGAUGAAAAGCUCUUUGAUGGCUCAUCAGAGGACAGACAGACGGGAGUGAGCUCAUGGCCAUAACAGCUCACAUUGUUUUUAUUGCUGGUUUUCCCUGACCUCAUUAACUGACUUCUGUGGGUGUGUGUGUACAAACACUGCUGGCCUACAUGUUCAGCUUUGUGUUUUGGAAAUCAACCAUUUGUUUUUAUUUUUUAUUUUUGAUCUUUUGUGUUUCUGUUCCUCAGACAGUCAAACUUCAAAAGGAUUCUGUUUUCAUCCUCC